GUGCCACUGUGGCAGCAUCUUUACUAAACUUGGAGUGAGACAGAGAUUAGCAAGUUCCAAUAAAAGGGUGACAUUCAAAUUCAUGAAGUGUUCCUAUUUUUU
rnacentral:snRNA from 1 species